CCUACGGGUGACAGCAGUGAGGAAUAUUGGUCAAUGGACGCGAGUCUGAACCAGCCAAGUAGCGUGAAGGAUGACUGCCCUACGGGUUGUAAACUUCUUUUAUAAGGGAAUAAACUGAGGCACGUGUGCCUUUUUGUAUGUACUUUAUGAAUAAGGAUCGGCUAACUCCGUGCCAGCAGCCGCGGUAAUACGGAGGAUCCAAGCGUUAUCCGGAUUUAUUGGGUUUAAAGGGAGCGUAGAUGGGUUGUUAAGUCAGUUGUGAAAGUUUGCGGCUCAACCGUGGAAUUGCAGUUGAUACUGGCAGGCUUGAGUGCAGUUGAGGUAGGCGGAAUGCGUGGUGUAGCGGUGAAAUGCUUAGAGAUCACGAAGAACUCCGAUUGCGAAGGCAGCUUACUAAGCUGCAACUGACAUUGAUGCUCGAAAGUGUGGGUAUCAAACAGGAUUAGAUACCCUAGUAGUC
rnacentral:rRNA from 1 species